AUUUUUAACAUUGGCUUUAGUGCUCAAAAUAAAAAUACAGACCAUGUAUGUAAUAAAUAAAUGUACACAAGUAGGUCUUACUUCUUUAACCACAGAACUAAGGUUGUUUUUUAAGCUUACAGUUAUUUUGCUGGUGUUGUGUUCCUGCUUCUUUCUGUUUGUUGCAGGAUCUAUGUUGAUUAUAUCAUUUGAAAGACAAAAAUAAAUAUAUUGAAAAUUAUUUAUAAACCUGCCAGCUUUUACCAGUCAAAUAUUCUAUUGUAAUGUCUCAUUUCAUUCUGCCUGAAGUGGACAGGGUAUGAUGGAUUUGACUAUGUGGCUCUACUCUUUGUUCCCUUUGUCUUUCCUGGCAUCUACAGAGUUUAAGUGAAUUAAAUAAUCUCUUUUCAGUGGUGCAUUGAUAAAAUACUAUUUAUACAUUUUUUCUGGUUUUCUCCAGUACUUUAUCAAGUAUAUAAGCAUAAUAAAUGAAGUAUUCAAAAAAAAUAAAUGAAGUAUUCCAUCAUUAACCCAGUGCUAUCUUAUGAAACUCAGUAAGAAGUUACAAUUUCUAAACUAUUUAGCACAUUCUUUUUUCACAUAGUUUUGUUUUUCACACAAGCCUUUUUGGACAAAAUGUGAUAAUGCGGGGAUGAAUAAAUGUGACUAUUAUAUGACCUCUAUAUAAUCUGCUCUUGCGGUUCCUUCCCACUGCCAUCUCCGUGCCGUGGGCAUCCUCCACUGCAGUGAAAUCUCUGCAUAUUUGUGCCAGAGACAUAUUUCCAGUUUAUUAAUUUUUCUUUGCCAGUUUCAUAGACUUAUGGAAUGCAUUCUGAUACUCUCACAGCCUAGCCACCUUCCCCUCCCUACCAUCCCUGUCAACCACUCUCUCCUCAUCAGUCCCUUUCCGGGAUACAUGACUUUUGAUUUUGUUUGUGACCUAUUUAGUUCAAGCAGACCAUCUGUGAGGGUGCUGGCACUAUCCACUGGAGCCUGGUGGGUCCCGGUGUGUGUACGAUCGAAGGCUGGGAUGCCCCUGCUCCUUGAGUCUGACAGUGGCACAUAAUCCAGCAGUGGAGAGUGUGCCUCUGGCCCCGCCCUCCACCAGAGCCACUGUUCAUGAUCCCAUUUCAUGCACUCGUCAUACUUGCUCAGAAUUUGGGAUUGCAAUGGCUUUGUCACAGCCUUUCUGCCUGUCUUCUGCUUCUGUGUUCGUUUCCACCCCAUUGUCUCCAUUUCCCCUGAGCCUUGGAGCGGGUGGUGUGUAUGUCUUAUUUAGGGGUCAGUACUCAUCUGACAUUUAUUCUUAGCACCCUGUACAUCUAUGAAUCUCUGUAUUUAUUCUCAGUCACUGAAAAGUCUUCUCCAUUAAAGCUGAAAGGAGUAUUUGUUUGCAUAUAAACCUAAAUAUUUAAAUGGCCCUUUGACAUUGUUCCAACUUAGAUAAACAACUGUAUUUCAUUCUCCUCCAGAGCCUAUUACUUCCUAUGGGUCUUUAGUAGGUUUGACAGUACCAGGAAUAGAACUCCUUGUGUGGAGAGGACAUCAAUUUUAAUUAGACUGAAAUUACUUAUUCUUACAGCAGCAAUGCUGUUAUUUCUCUAGUGAGCAUAUCUUGCUUGGCUGGUUCAUCUUGUGGUUUGUAGAGUUCACAAGCAGGUAAGACCAUCAACAUGUUUUCUCACCCAGCAGUUUGGAUAGCACUUACCAAUACUGUGAAAGGUAGCCAGCAAAGAGGAAGCUUCUAGCUCAGUUCCACCAUGCAGCCAAUGUAGGGGAUAUACCAUGUGAUGUGGUCUUAUCAUCUAGCUCUUAUAAGCAACCAAGAGAAAUGGCAAGAGCCUGUAUUAAUUUCUAAAUCCUUUGAAGCUUGGAUAAACCAUUGAGGGACACUAUUGGCCCAUGUUUUUGUGAGUAUCAGUUACUUUAUUCAUUAUUUUCCAAUCUCAUCCAUUUACCUGUGAAUUUCAUUUCUUUCCAUCUAAACAAAAUUCCAAUGUGUAUAUGAACCAUAUUUUCAUUAUCCACCAGUUGAUGGACAUAUAAUGUGAUUCCAUUUCCUAGUCAAUGUGAAUAAAAUGGCAGUGAACACUGGUAAGUAAAUACCUCUGUAGGACAACAUUGAGCCUUUGGCAUAUAUUCCCAGGAGUCAGAUAGUGGAGAUAUACAGGCCUUGUAUUUGUAGGUUUUUGAGAAAUCAUCACACUGAUUUCCAUAGUCAAUGUACCAGUCUGCACUUCUACUGACAGUUAAUAAGGAUUUCUUUACCCUCACACCAACAAUGUCUAUUGUCAUUUGAUUUCUUGAUAAUAGUGAUUGAUUAUGAGAUGGAAUCUCAAGGUAGUUUUAUUCUGCAUUCCCAGAUGUGGAACACUUUUAAAAACUGUUUUUUCAUCAUUUGUAAUUAAUUUUUAGAAUUCCUUGUUUUUAUCUGUAGACCCUUAUGGGGGAUGGGUUGGUCGGUUUUCUUAAUAUUUUUUAAUUGUGUGUUCUAUUAUUAGUCUUCUGAUUGCUGUAUAACUGGCAAAGAGUGUUUUCCUGUUAACUCAAGAUAACAGUUGGUCCCAAUAGAAUCUUUAAACCUCCCUCUGAAACUUUACAAGUCAGGCCAACAUCAUCUGCAUUGCUAUCAAUACUCUUAUCUUCCAAGCUCCUAAAGAACAUCCCACUGAACUCUGAACACUCACUGGAUUUUCUAUUUAAAGUUCCAAUAUGUACCACAAUCUUUCCCAAAACAUUGUCAGGUCUGUGACAGUAAUACCUCACAAUCCUAGUACCAGCUUUUAUCUUUAUGUUCUAUUGUGAUGAAGAGACAUGAUCACCACAGCAACUCUUGUCUCCCAACAAACAGCAUGGUACGGGCCAUGUCGCAGCAGUUCCCAACUCCUGGAAUUGCCUUGUCUUAUUUGGGGUUUCUAUUGCUACCAUGACCAAAAGGCAUAUUAGAAAGGAAAGUGUUUAAUGGGCUUGUACUUCCAUAUCAUGGCCCAUCAUUGAAAAAAGUCAGGGUGCAAGAGCUGAUGCAGAGACCAUGGAGGGGUGCUGCUUACUGCUCAUGGCUUACUCAACCUGCUUUCUUAUAGAACCCGUACCACUUGCCCAAGGGUUGCCCCUCCUAUAAUGCACCCCACCCAAAUCAAUCACUAAUUAAUAAAAUGCCCCACAGGCUUGCCUAUAGCCAUAUCUUAGGGAGGGAGGCAUCUUCUCAGUUGAGGUGUCCUCUCUGAUGAUUUUUGCUUGUUUUAAUUUGACACAAAACUAGCUGGGACAUUCCCAUUCAGUCAGCUGCCUUUUCAUUUGGUUGACUAUUUCAUUUGCUGUAUAGGUUUUAAGUUUCAUUGGGUCUCAUUAAUUGGGUCUUUUACAGUAAUAGUUCUACC
rnacentral:lncRNA from 1 species